rnacentral:rRNA from 1 species
UGGGGAAUUUUGGACAAUGGGGGAAACCCUGAUCCAGCCAUCCCGCGUGUGCGAUGAAGGCCUUCGGGUUGUAAAGCACUUUUGGCAGGAAAGAAACGUCAUGGGUUAAUACCCCGUGAAACUGACGGUACCUGCAGAAUAAGCACCGGCUAACUACGUGCCAGCAGCCGCGGUAAUACGUAGGGUGCAAGCGUUAAUCGGAAUUACUGGGCGUAAAGCGUGCGCAGGCGGUUCGGAAAGAAAGAUGUGAAAUCCCAGAGCCCAACUUUGGAACUGCAUUUUUAACUACCGGGCUAGAGUGUGGCAGAGGGAGGUGGAAUUCCGCGUGUAGCAGUGAAAUGCGUAGAUAUGCGGAGGAACACCGAUGGCGAAGGCAGCCUCCUGGGAUAACACUGACGCUCAUGCACGAAAGCGUGGGGAGCAAACAGG